rnacentral:rRNA from 1 species
UUAAGAUAGUAAGAGCAUACGGUGGAUGCCUUGGCGAUAUCUGCCGAUGAAGGACGCGACAAGCUGCGAAAAGCUGCGGUGAGGUGCAAAUGACCUUUGACCCGCAGAUGUCCGAAUGGAGCAAUCCGGCUGUGGUUAUGCACAGUCACCCAUGCCUGUGAGUAUGGGAGGGAACCAGGCGAACUGAAACAUCUAAGUAGCCUGAGGAGAAGUAAUCAAACGAGAUACCCCCAGUAGCGGCGAGCGAACGGGGCAGAAGCCCAAACCGCAGAAGGAAACUUUUACGGGGUUGAGGGCCGUCAUACGAACGUGGAAUCCAGCUGAAGCUUCUGGGAAGGAGCGCCGCAGGAUGUGAAAGCCAUGUAAGCGAAAGAGGAAGCGGAACAGACGGUACCAGAGUACCGCGGGACACGAGAAACCCCGUGGGAAGCAGGGGGGACCACCCUCCAAGGCAAAACACAGAUAUCGACCGAUAGCGCAUAGUACCAUGAGGGAAAGGUGAAAAGCACCCCGGGAGGGGAAUGAAACAGAACCUGAAACCGUAUGUUUACAAGCAGUCGGAGACCGUAUAUAUAUCAGGUCGACGGCGUGCCUAUUGAAGAAUGAACCGGCGAGUUAUGAGGUCCAGCGAGGUUAAGCAGGAAAUGCGGAGCCGAAGCGAAAGCGAGUCUUAACAGGGCGAAUAGUUGGACUGCAUAGACCCGAAACCACAGUGAUCUACCCAUGUCCAGGUUGAAGCACAGGUAAAAAUGUGUGGAGGACCGAACCUAUAUCCGUUGAAAAGGGUUAGGAUGAGGUGUGGGUAGGGGUGAAAUUCCAAUCGAACGUGGAGAUAGCUGGUUCUCCCCGAAAUAGCUUUAGGGCUAGCCUCAGGGUAAAGAUUGCAGGCGGUAGAGCACUGAUCAGGAGAGGGACCUACCCGGUUACCAAACCCAGUCAAACUACGAAUGGCUGCAAUUAUACCUGGGAGUCAGACUACGACUUAUAAGGGCCGUGGUCAAAAGGGAAACAGCCCAGAUCAUCAGCUAAGGUCCCAAAUGCCGUGCUAAGUGGCGAAGGAUGUGGCGUUUCAUAAACAACCAGGAUGUUGGCUCAGAAGCAGCCACCAUUUAAAGAGUGCGUAAUAGCUCACUGGUCGAGAGACGCUGCGCCGAAAAUGUCCGGGGCUCAAGCACGGAACCGAAGCUAUGGCAUUGCGUAAGCAAUGGGUAGGGGAGCGUUCUUAUGGGGAAGAAGCAUUACCGUAAGGAGAUGUGGACACAUAAGAAGUGAGAAUGCCGGUAUGAGUAUCGAAAAGAAAGGUGAGAAUCCUUUCCACCGAAAGCCCGAGGGUUCCUGAGCAACGAUCGUCGUCUCAGGGUAAGUCGGGACCUAAGCCGAGGCACAGACGCAUAGGCGAUGGACAACAGGUUGAAAUUCCUGUACCGGAUGGAGUCAUUUGAGCAAUGGAGUGACGCAGGAGGGCACAUGAUCGCGCGACUGGAAGAGCGCGUCCAAGUGCGUAUGUUGAAUCGGAGGCAAAUCCCCGAUUCUGAAAGCAGAGACAUGAUGGGGAGUUAUAAGCGAUUAUGACGAACUCAUGGAUCCCACACUGCCAAGAAAAACUUCUAGCGAGACGAAAUCCGCCCGUACCGUAAACCGACACAGGUAGGCGGGGAGAGAAUCCUAAGGUGCGCGGGAAAACCCUCGUUAAGGAACUCGGCAAAUUGCAUCCGUAACUUCGGGAGAAGGAUGGCCCUGAGUAGGCGAAGUGCAGAAACGCACGGAACAGAAAAGGGUGGCAGAAAAGAGGCCCAAGCAACUGUUUACCAAAAACACAGGUGCCUGCGAAAGCGAAAGCUGAAGUAUAGGUGCUGACGCCUGCCCGGUGCUGGAAGGUUAAGGAGAGAGGUUAGCGCAAGCGAAGCUUUGAACUGAAGCCCCAGUGAACGGCGGCCGUAACUAUAACGGUCCUAAGGUAGCGAAAUUCCUUGUCGGGUAAGUUCCGACCCGCAUGAAAGGCGUAAUGAUUUGGGCGCUGUCUCAACGAGGGGCCCGGUGAAAUUGAAAUACCUGUGAAGAUGCAGGUUACCCGCGACUGGACAGAAAGACCCCAUGGAGCUUUACUGCAGCUUGAGAUUGAAUCCCGGUGGCAGACGCACAGGAUAGGUGGGAGGCUUUGAGAUAGUGACUUUGGUUGCUAUGGAGCCGACGUUGGGAUACCACCCUUCUGUUGCUGGGAUUCUAACGCGAAGAUUAACAACCUUGCGGACCAUCUCAGGUAGGCGGUUUGACUGGGGCGG